rnacentral:ribozyme from 1 species
AAUGGAGAGAGAAGCAGCAAAGGUGGCAGAGCGAAUACGAGAGACAACAGAGGGCGAGAGAAGCGUGGGAGGAA